rnacentral:rRNA from 1 species
UACGGAGGGUGCAAGCGUUAUCCGGAUUCACUGGGUUUAAAGGGUGCGUAGGCGGGUAUAUAAGUCAGUGGUGAAAGCUCCGGGCUUAACUUGGAAACUGCCAUUGAUACUGUAUAUCUUGAAUGUCGUAGAGGUUAGCGGAAUGUUGCAUGUAGCGGUGAAAUGCUUAGAUAUGACAUAGAACACCAAUUGCGAAGGCAGCUCACUACACGAAUAUUGACACUGAGGCACGAAAGCGUGGGGAUCAAACAGG